rnacentral:lncRNA from 1 species
UGGGGGUGGUUGUACGGCGACGCGUUAAUGUGCCUUUUCUUCCUAUGGUUGAUAUGGUAGAUUGAGCUUUUUUUUUUUUGGUGGUAAACGGCAUUUGUCCACGGCAAGACGCCUGUGGACUACGUCAAUGUCAAAGAUCUUAUACGCCUCAUAUGUACUGUUUCGUGAAACAAAUAAAAAGGUACACUUUUUAAUCGACAAGGCUAUACCAAGUACAAACAAGGAAUGUGUGGAUACGGUACUAUUGAGAUAACAUUUGAUAUUGAGGAAAGUGAUCCUGAAUUUUCUCUCCAAGUGAUGCGGUAUUCAAGGUCACUGGCGAUAUAAAUUCAUCCCAGUACAACAGUCAGCAGAUGAAAAAUAAUUAACUCACACACAAAUUGUGACACUUACAUGCCGACCAAGACAUUAUGCUGGACAAACCAUACACCUGCCUUAAUAGUCAUUUCUCUACAUAUUUCGCACCAGUUCAAAAGAAUUGUCAAAUAUGCCAUUUGCCUCGCAUCACAGUAUCGAGCCACAUGACAAAAAAAAGAAAGUGCACCCUUGCACAUCCUGUAGCUAUUGUGAAUUUGUCCUGCUGCUUUCGGAACUUCUUAUUGGAUUGAAAUAUGGAUGAGCCUGCAAAACACCAAACAUAUGCUUUCAGUACAAUGUAGUUUCUUGGUAAUAUAUAAGUUUGUAUGAUAAAUCAACUUCUCUUGAUGAAUGUUGGCAAUAGAGAGGUACCAUGGUUUCCUUUGCUGUAGGCCUUUCCUGGUGAUCGUACCGGAGGAGCUUAUCUACCAAAUCGAUAGCCUAUAAAAGGUAGAAAUUCUGUAAAAGAAAAACACAAGAAAUGAGGAGUAAAAGGCAAUAUUGGUCAAAAGGAGUCACCUCGGAGCUAACUAGGUGUAUGUUCCUAGCAUUGACAAACUUUGUCCAUGGUUUCCUAUUAUGUCUGUAGUCAUGAAAGCUUAGUUAGAUCAUCCUAAAUAAAAGAACAUUGAUAGUCUGCAAAAUUAUCCAAAGUAAUGACCUUCCAACAAGUCUUUCCAGCUGUGGGUCAAGCUGGAGACCAUAUUUUUCAAGGUAGUUAUAGAAAUCUUCUGUGCCAAGAACCUGCAGGAGCAGCAGGUACUGCAUACAUUACUCACACAUUUAAACAAAUCAUUCCAAAGAAUCAUUUCUUUGGGAAGCGCGAGAGUAGGGGAUUAGAGGAAAUUGUAAAACCAGAAUGGCUAGGGCUUGGGGUUUUAGGGUUUAGUCAGUAUUAUAACUGCAACUGUGGUGCACCAUAUAUACAUGAUGUGGUAGCCAAAAUCAUAUUGAACUCAAAGGCAACACAAGGAGAUCAUAGGAUAAUGGCAAUGAACACAAAAGGCUACUGCAACAUCUAGACAUACUUUUAAACUCUGAUUAACCAACAGUCCAACACUCAUGAGAAGUGGACUCGUAGAAUACACCAAUUCAUUGUUUACAAAGUUUGCAAUCAAGACAGCACAUACCACAAAUGUAUUGAUAUCUGAAAAAUCAACAAUAUACAAUAAGCUAUUUUCUGUACAUGCAAGGCUAUGCUUGUCUGCUAGACUGCUACUAAGGUCCAUUUAAAAGAUGUAGACAUACAUAUGAACUUGCCAUUGGUGAGACUCUUACAACUGAUAUAUUGUGCUAAAUUGGUAUGAGACAACUCAUAUGCAGAUGCAAACAAUAAUUUCACAUGAACCGAUUAACUUGAGCAGUUUAACAGAUUAAAUUAAAUUUGUGCAACAUCUAAAUACAUAAUCAAAUGAUAAUUCGUAAGAGUGGUAAUCAUUGUACCAUUCGCUUUAAAGCACUAGAUUAAAUGACAGAAAAAAAAUACUUUGACAGGAUGUUUCCACAAAGAGGAGCUUCAAACUUACCUCAGUUAUUUUCACUAACUGGUCAUAAUUAUCCUGGCCACUAAAGAAAGGGUCCACCCGGAAUAUCUGUUAAGAGUAUCAUAAUGCACAUCAACAGAGGUCUGAUAGUGAAGAUAAUUUCUUGGGGCUUGCCACCUACCAUUGAUGCAAACAUGCAACCAAGGCUCCACAAAUCCAAUGAGUAAUCAUAAUCUAACAAAUCCACAAGAAGUUCAGGACCCUUGUAGCAUCUGUAAAUAGCAACGGACAUGGUAAGCCAAGGAGCAAAAGAAGGCAAUGUGAGGCAGCUAGGGAGCAAUAUAAUUUUUAAGAGACUAUAGAUUAAUUUACUAUCUAUAUUCAGGGUAUAACAUAACCUUCUGUGAGAAAUAUAGAGAUGCACUAAAAUGCUAUUAGUCUAUUACGAUUAAGUUUACCUAAAGAAUAUAUAGUGGGUGAGGUAACGAAUCAACAAUGUUUUUUACAUUUUCAUUAUCAAUGCAUAAGUGCUACCGUGAACAGGUGGAUAAAGACAAAUAUCCUUAUGAACAAGCUGAACAAGUCCACAAACAGCCAACUUUCAAAGCUGGGGCAGCUGACCUUGAGGCAACUCUAGCAUUGUAUUCCAUCUUGGGAUGAUAGAACUCUGCAAGACCCCAAUCAAUAAGACGAAGCUGGCGUUUUUCAUGGUCAAUCAUGAUAUUGUGAGGUUUGACAUCUCGGUGCAUGAUACCCCGUGAAUGACAAUAAUCUAGUGCCUACACAAAUACCUGGAAAAGUUAAGACCAUCAAGUUGAAUGCAGCCUGAAAUAGAGAGCUAGAACAUUUAAAUGUAAAAAUGCAAAAUAGACAGCUAGCUCCUCAAGAGAAGAGAGCCUAUUGGUCUGGGUUAGGUCACAAGACAUGAGAAGAUCAUAAAAGAAAAUAUAUAAAAAAAACUCUAUCGGUGCGGGAAGGACAGAGAAGAUCAUCCUUCAUACAUCAUACUAUCAUAGCACCACAUACUCCAUUUCUUUUGAUCUUUAUGAUGCCCACGCAAAUACAUAAAGUCAGUUCAUUUUUUUUUGCCCAAACUCCAAAAUCCAAAUGUGCAUACGAUGGUUCUAAAUCACAAGGAUACUCUUCACAUGAAUUAUCAGCUAUUGAUAUAAUAAGACCAUAUUUAUCGGCCCAAUGCAACUCUUAGAUUUUCUAAGGUCUGUGAUGUGUGAGAAAAAUCAUGGGAAUAUAAUUUUACUUCUCAGAAUCAAACAGUGCACAUGAAAAUAAGUUAAGACUGAAAUAGCUGAAGCAUGAACAAGAUGGCACAAGUAACAGAUAUGAGAAAUUUUGAGGUCCAGAUUCUUGCCUUUAAUAAUUCAAAAAUAUAAUAUCUGAUAUCAUAAUCAGAUAGUGCAGGGUAGAGCACUUUGAAGUCAGUGUUAUUGACAUAUUCAAAGAUCAGACUGGGCGUCUUUGAUUCCUCAUCUCUGACAACAUCAAGUAGCUUUACAAUAUUUGGUCCUCCAUAUAAGUUCUGAAGUAUUUUUAUUUCCCUCUUUAUCUGGAUGAUCAUUAAAGAAAUCCGCAUCAAAUUGCUAUGAAGUUACAGAAAUCUAAGCAAGUAGAAGGAAAACACAUAAACAUCAAUUUGCCUCAAGUAACAUUAAAGUUUAUUCAGUAAGCCUAAAAAGGAUCAAAUAACCACGAGUAAAUGCCAUAGAAAAUUAAAUUCACAGAUUCUGCAACUCUUACAUUUUUUUAUAUACAAAAGCCUUAUAGGUGUCCUUUUUGUUGUGAAUCUGUUGAGCAUGAACAGGAUGAUAUGGUCAUACAACAGUACUGUGCAACUACAAUGCCUCCAACUAAGAUAAACUAACCAUGAAUUUACUCAAACCACAUUGCCUCAUGCUCACUGACACCCUACUGGCUACAUAGUAGAAGCGACUAGUCAACAAGGUAAUGCUCGAAUCUAACACAAAAACAGCUGAGACUGGUGGCCAUUCAUAAACUCCAACCUCAUGCAUGGCAGCCACUGCGUUUCCAAUUUUAUGAUUCCGGUGGGUAGAAAUGCAACAGCCACCAUAGAGAGCAUUGCAAACUUUUCCUCACCUUCUUCUUCUUCACGGGCUUGAGGAUCUUAAUGAUGCAUCUAUCAUCGCUUCCAGGCCGGAAGCCUUCAAACACCUCGCUGUACUUCCCCCUCCCCACCUUCCGCAGCACCUCGUACCCAUCCUGCUCCCUGCACGCACAGGAAGCACAGGAACAUCAGAACGACAACCCUACCCGGCUACCCCACCCCCAAAUCUGGAGACCACGGGUGAGCUGAGCUCCAGCUCCGUGUGCCUUACCCCCACUGGAUGUCGAGCGACUCGUAAUCCCAGUACUCCUUGGGCCGCUGCGCGUUGGCGUCCGCGUAGACGCGCGCCACGGAGGUGGCGCCCCCGGGGUGCCGCGUGGCCCGGCCGAAGCGGGGGGUCAUGGGGAGCGGCGCCUCAGCUGCCGCGGCGUGGGCCGUGGGGGCGACGCGGCGGCGCCGGUGGUAGUGCGGGGCCGCGGUGGAGAGGAGGAAGCGCAGGAGGAGGCCGUGGGGCGCGGCGGUGGCGGCGGCUGCCGGAAGCGGGAGGACGCGGCUGCGCAGGGCGCACCAGGCCAUGUAACCGCGGCGCCGAGGGGUCGAGGGCUCGGCGCCUCGGCCGUGGCUCGCGGUCUCGCGGAUGGGUUCGCUGCUUCGCGCACGAAAAAAAUCUCGAGAAAAUAUCCGAUUCGCGAGCGUGUGCCGGCUUGGGCCGUCGGGUGACUGGAUCGGGACAUAUUGGCCCAGCCCAGGACUACGAGGAUGAUGGAAGGUUUGGCCCGGCCGUACGGCCCAGCGCGGGGCAUUCCCCACCCCUACUCGGAGCUCGCCAGCAAGUAGACGCCGGUUUCGCCUGCCACCCGCAACACGCCGCCGUCUUCCACCCCCUCUUCCAAAACGGACGAGGAAAAGCGAGAAAAUCCCCUUGCUCGCGCGGGCGCGCGCGCGCGCUGCCAUGGACGCGGGGGCUGAGGAGCUCCAGCUCCGCGACGCAGCUCGGUCCCAAGCACAGGUCAGUUUUGCCAAACCCUAGCACAUCGCUUACCUCUAGUGGGACAAGCGACAACCAUUUUUCUCAACUGGCAUUGGAAUUCCUCGCCGUAUAGGUAUAGCCUUGUACAUAGUUCGUGCCACAAGCGCGCUGAGUUUAGUGAACUAAAAUAUCUUCUGCGGCUGAUUUCGUGGUGAUGGGGAAAGUAGGGUACUGUAGCCUUUCGUGCUUAUACUUUCGACGUGCAUUUUGGUUAGCCUGCACACCAAGAGGUGCCUAGUUGUUUAGUUCUUUAUUAGUUCAGUCAUUGCAGUUGUUCAUGCUGGAGCUUGCAGCUUAAGCACGGGAUGCGUUCAAAUGACCAUGCUCUCGUAAUUACUAACAUGUUUUCUAUGAACUCACCUCACGUUAUCCCCUAUUAAGUUUCCUCCCUGCAUGUCUGUCAGCAUCAAUAGUUGUCCAAUGUUGGUCAUUAUAACAAUUUUGGUUCAGUAAUAGCAUACAUGCAUAAUCGCAGCUAACUAUAUCUACCCACUGUAUCUGGAGCAGAACCUAGACCCUGGUCCUGUUGAUAAAUCUGUCCUCGUGGAACAGGAAUUUCACAAAUCAGAAGCUAUAUUUGUUGGGAAGGUAACACUUUAGACUUGUCCUUCAAUUUUCAUUUACCUGCUUAUUUCCCAUCAAUGUGUAGUUCUCAGCUAUUGGGUCUUUCGUGAGAAUUUUUUUUUGCAGUUAUUGAACUUCUCUUGAUUGCCGGCCAUUUACUUCACCUGAAAAAAUAUGCAGAUAUACAAACCUGUAAGAUUUAUCGAACAUGGCACCAGGCUUAACCAGUGGGAAGUGAAACAUGAGGGGAUGCUUGCGUUAUUGCAGCGUUCUGGAUUUUACCACCUGUCUUUAUUGAAGCGGGUUCAGUUAGACCAUGCAUUGUUAAAUGCAUUGGUUGAAAGGUGGCGGCGUGAAACACAGACGUUUCACUUGCGGUUUGGAGAAAUUACAGUGCUCUUGAAGGAUGUAGCAAUUCUUACUGGGCUUCGUGUACAUGGUGCUCCUGUCACUGGCCCGACAAACUGUAAUUGGGAGCAAUUGUGCACACAGCUUCUGGGCCAAGAACCUCCACAGAUCAAAGGUGGUUCUAUCAACAUUGCAUGGCUGCAUGACACUUUCAAAACAUUACCAGAAGGUGCUAAUCAGUCAGAUGUAGAGUAUGCUGCACGAGCUUACAUUCUGUACCAAAUCGGCUGCAGUUUAUUUCCUGAUCCGAGUGGAACUAGAGUGCACUUGCGAUAUUUGGCCCUACUCCGCGAUUUUGAUGCCUCAGGAGAGAUGGCCUGGGGGGCUGCUGUUCUUGCCCACCUCUACAGAGAGCUUGGAAAGGCCAGCAUGAAGGGCAAAGCAAACUGCUGUGCGUUUCUUACUCUUCUUCAGGUAGUAUUAGUUUUGCAGAAACUUUCACCCUCAAUUGAUGCUAGAACUGAUGUUCAAUGCAACAAACAUUGCAGAUAUGGGCAUGGGAGCACAUCCAGAUUGGCUGUCCUGAACGGCUAGAGAAUAAGAUUCUACCCGAUGAUUGGCCCCUUGGAUGCAGGUUUUCUUUUUCCCAGAUUGCUUUUCAUUACCACUUCCAUUUACUUCAAUAUAUGCUCCAUGAUAUGAAAAACACCUGAUUACUAGGUGGAAUGUCGCCUUCAAGAACCGUGAAAAUGUCCGAUCCAUGGACCAUGAGUUUUACAGGCAUGGGCUUGAUACUAUAUCAGAUUGUCAGGUAUGAGUUUCAUAACUUCAAGAUGUGCAUUUGUGCUGUUAGGUGCUCAUUAAAAGAGGUAAAACGCUACCACUACUAUAUUUUGUGUGCUUUAUAGAUCACAUGGGACCCAUACACACCAAACCUGAUAGCUGGGCUUCCUGCAAUAUGCACAUUUGGAUCCGCAGUUUGGCGAUCAAGGACUCCGUUAAUAUGCUUCCAGAUAGUGGAAAUGCAUGUGCCUGAUCGUGUCUUACUGCAAUUUGGAAUGGUGCAGCACAUACCAGACCCAGUUGAGGCUGUUGAACGUGUUACAAUGCAGGGUAAAGCUGAUCAAAAUUGGCCUACUUACCAUGAUAAGUACAUUAAGCAAUGGCAGAACAGGCUCUUCUCUGUUGUUGAGCAACAGGAUACAGGGAUUUCAGAUCCUACUCAUCCAAGGAAUUGUUACCUUGAAUGGUAUUGGCGAAUUACACGUCGAUGGAUUUCCACUCCAGUUGAAUGUCCAAUUAUAUCCUAUGAGUUAUCUGGGCACGCUGAUGAAGUUCUGGUAAUAAUUUAGAACGAAUUUUGCACUCUAUUUGUGCUAAAUUUAAUGUUUACAUGUCAUUGAUAAAUACUUUCAACCAUGAGCAGGUUGAUUUGGUAAGUACAGUACAGGGACGGAUUAGAACUUUGUUACUAAGUGAGAUUGAUGUGAAAAGGAUGAAGGAAUCACUUACUGACAUUGAUGUGUACAUCACUGUUAAAAUGGCGGAGGCUAAGCAGGUUGCUCACCAUAUCCUAAUGAAUCUAGCUACUUAAAUUGCAACAGACAACAUAUGCUUACGUCCUCAAUUGUUGUGCAGAUUAUGCAAAGUGGUGUUCCAACUGGCAUGGGAAUUAGGAGUGCUAAAUCAGCCAUGAUCUGUUCAAAUGAUGUGGAUCCUACUCAGGCUACUGUUGCGAAGCUGGAACUAGUUGGUGAUGAUCAUGUCGAGGGAAACACUAUACUGCAAUUGGACCAAAUGAGGAGAAUUCAACCCGCAGGAGGAACUGUUGAUUUAGCACCUCUCAUAACAGGUGAUACCACAAGCAACAAAACUGAGGAUGUGCAUCCACAAGAAGAUCCUCUUGAUAUAACAAUGACAGAAGUAAAUCUCCAGGACAUCAUUAGCACACCUCUUCAGGAUGCUAUGACAGAUAUUAUGAACACAUCUGCAGAGGAUGCUACACUGGAGGAUAUUUCAGAUUCAGAUGUGAAGAAUGGCUCUGCGUCCAUAGAGACCGUGGAAGUGAAGGAGACUGGUGGAUCAAUGUACAACAUUAAAAUCUACAAAAAGGUUACAGCUGAAAUGCAGGAGUGUGCCAGUGCACCUUUGAUCGAUGGUAAAGUUGAUGAAAUCGUUAGUGUAUUCAUGUACAAUUACAAGGUGGAGAUCACUCACAUGAAUUUUGGUAAUUGGCUGAUUGCAGGUCAAGGAACGGUGUGUGACGCUUCAGUCCUUCCAGAAUUCUACAAGAUCUUGUGUGUAUCAUCAAAUAAGGAGCAAUUGCAGAAGAUUACUGGUGCAGCUGAGAAUGACGGUAGAAUUGAGGAAGUUGUGGGGACAAGAUCGGAGAAUAGUACAGGUCCAGGAAUGAUGGGUCGACCUUUUAAUGCCAUUGAACCUGGAGAUACCUUGAAUACAUCUAUGAAGAAGUUAAGUUCAGUGCCAGGUCAUGUUGAAUGUCCCUCUGUCUCUGAACAGGAAGAACCUGAUGCUGCAAGUCCAGGCCGCGACAAACUGCAAGAUGCCGUCCAGACACAGCCUGAGGAUGUUGUUCAGGAUGGAGUGGAUGCUGUGCAAAAUCAAAUCUUUCAAGAGAAUGCCAAGGACCCAAUUGAAAAUGGCCCUUGGCAAAAACCUGUUGCUACACCUGCUGAAGAUUUGCUUAUCAGUAGUGCUGGAGAGAUAACUCAGAGAAGUGUUAACUCAGUCACUGGAGAAGGAAAUAAUACAAUUGGAAGGGAGGAAUCUGCUGGGAAUGAGGACCUUGGCAAUCCAGUUCCUAAUGAACUAUCUAAAAGGAGAAAAUUGACGAUUCCUUCCCACGAAAAUUCUGAGUUCUGUUUAACAAUAGAGGCUACUAAAAUGGGAACUACGAAAACAGAUGAGAAAACAGAUCAGAAUGUAAGAAGUGGCAGUGGCCAGUUGAUAGCAUUCACAAGAAGGAAAAGAAAAGCACUUAUGCAAUCAUCACCCUGACUCCUAAUACUAUUUUGUUACUUACUUUAGGCAAUAUUUUCAGAAGCUUUUUUGUUUAUGUAUGUUUUAGUGUACAAUGAAUGUGAAUUCAAAAUCUUCUUACGAUAUUUUGCCCUUUUAAUAUAUGGAGCAUCCACUAUUGUUUGUCCUUUAUCAUUUACCUUAGUGAAUCGAUGCAAGUACACAUUUUUAUAAUACUUUUUGUUGACUGCUCCUGUAUCAUGAGUCGUCAGAUUUUUCAAACUCUUAGGCUGUUCAAACAAAUAUUGAUGUAUUUGGUGCUGAAUUGGUUUUACUCUGCCUUUGAGAAAGAAUUUUCUCAUUUAAUUAUCCUUUUGCUGCAUAUCGCUGCAUCAGCAUGUUUGGUAUCUGUAUACACAAAAUUUGCUGGAUAUUUUCCUUUUAAGAUUGCUUUAGUACAUUUGGGAGCAGUCAUGCAAGCGUUGGAAGCAAGGGUCCAGGGUAUUCAGCUCCAUAAUGAAGGUAGCAAAAACUUUUUUUUAUGAAAUAGCAAAAACAUUUUGCUCUUCCUGGUUGAUAAUGCUAGUCCAAUCACCUCGUUCAAUUCAUCACAUCUCACAUGCAUGAUUCCAGUUUGCAGAUUAUGCGUCAAGUUGAUUUGAGCAGAUUGGAUGGAUGGCUGUUUGCUUGUUGAGAUGUACAGGUGGAUGCAGCUGACAGAGUGACAGGUAGUUUUUUUCUGCUGUAUAGCCAAGCGUCAAGCCACAGGAAUAUCUGAACCGAGAUGCGACUAAGAUAACCAGAAUUGUUCGUCCUGUAAUAUUCUCUGACCCUCUUAUCUUGCAGGAGACAGGAAUCUAAUAUGCAGUCCCAGUAUAAAAACAUGGCACUUUCUAACCCUGCUGUUGCUGAAUUAUACCAGGUUUUGUCCAAAACCCAAAGAUGCAUUACCAUUCAGUUGGUUCUUGUGCUUUAGUUUUUCCCCAUUAUAUAGAAAUCAUGCACUUGUCUGUUCCCCCUAGAUGACCUCCUUCACAAGAGUCAGUAACAUGUCUCCAGAUUCAUCACAUGGAGGAGACACGGACAGGAAGGUGCUGUAGCAAGAUCAAGAGGCUUCACCAGCUAAUCGACCACAAUGAUUCAUCUUGUGUCGGCCGCGCCUCUCAUGCAAUUGAGCGCCAUUCCCGACCGGGCACUGGCCGCAGGCCUCGCGUCAUGGUCGCUGCGCGUGGUGAGGCUUUUUUCCGAUGUGAGCCUGUAUCAAGGCAUGGGGUGAUGGGGAGGUGCGAGGUCCCUCGGUCCAGGGCUCGUCAGCUGUGAGCCUGUGAGCCCGUCGUCGGUCGCGCUCUGCAACUGCAAUGAUGGCUGCCCGCCUCGUGUCCGUGACUGCAGUGAAGCGCCCCGGUUCAUGUCACCCCUCGCUUUCAGCGCUCGUGCUGUGUUUGCUCCUCGCUCCGUGUGCAUCAGGUCGUCGUCUUGUCGUGAUCUGCUGUGCUUUCACUGAAACCCAUCCUGGUCAAUCACCACUGACCACUGCGCCAUGGGUAAUUUGCACAGAUUGUGAAGCAAAUUGAGAGUCUGGUUUAUGGCCACACGCGCUGUUUCUUUACCGGCUGUGCCUGGAUUUUAGAGCCGAGUAAUUCAGUUUUUGGAAGCUUCGAAGCACCACCGAGGCCCGGAGGGACAGAUCUUGUCUCAACGUUGAUGCCAACGGACUAGGAUUCAUGGACGAACCAACGAACAAACCAUAUAUCAUUCCGUUUCUUAGCCAUGCUAGGUUUCCACAAUCAUGAAAUCACAUGAGAGCAACCUGCAUCCAUACGCUGUGGAGCCACCCAGUUGGAUCGGCGACAAGAAACCAUGAUAGUCACGAUCUGUUUCUUUCGAAGGUGAGCAAUCUAAUGCACUGCUAGAAGUUAUAUUGCAUUGCCCUGGUGGUCAUUAGUCAUCUGAUGUGAACAAAAAGAACCCAAUCUAGCUAGUUAGCUCUAGCCUAAUCCUCAGCUAAAACCAACAAAAUGAGAUACAUCUAUAUACAUUGCAUUCCAUCUGUUCUGCUCUGGCUAGCUACAUCAACUCAGCAAUCAUAACUAGAGGGCCAUAUUCAUGCCAAGACUACUGGAGCUAGACUAGGUAGCAUCUUCAGAGGAGUCAGAUUGCUCAGUGGGCACCAACCAAGCCACCAGAAUCUGCAAUUGCACCUACAUUCUUCCGUUAGUGGGGGUUAUAGUAGUCUGGCUAGGUAUGCAUGGACCUCCUGUCAGUUGUCUGUACUCUCUGUCCUUGUAGGCUACAGUACUUGACCUGUUUCAGCAAAAUAAUUGGGAUGCGCACAUUAGAAAUGCUAUAACUACAAUAGCAUAGGGUGACCAAAUGCGGGUGGGCCUCAGUACUUACAUGCAUUGUUGCAAGUGUGGACAGCAAUUCUCUGGACUGCUCCAUUAGAGUGCCCUCUUGGGUAGCAACUUUGGAAAGAUCAGAAACCAAAAUACUUGUUCCAGCAAGCUGCAGACCGAGAGGUGAUUUCAGUUAAACAAAGUAACAAAUCCAGCAUCACAAAAAAUAUUUUACCAAAUGUAAGCAUCUCAGAAUUUUGCUGUAUUUUUUGUGCAUGCCUCAAACAAGUGCACAUGUUUUUUUGCUUGGUGAUUGCAAAGUUGAAUACUAUGAUGCUCGGAGCUAUGAAACUAAUUCAGUUGUAGGUCUUCAAUUGAACCCAACUACGAAAUACGUAAUGAGGAUGCACUUUAUCCUACAGAGACCCUCAAGAACAGAGAAGUGCUUCAGAAACUUGGGAAGGUUUUUAAAGCCAUCUAAUCUGGGAAACACCUGCCUGAGAUCAGAUUAACUCUCAACCCUAACAAUCCAUCAUGAUCAGACAACUUGGAAAGCCUUAUUGUGAAGGGUGCUAGUUCUAUUCUACAGGGCCCCCGAUCAUAAAUUAAGAAAAUGUAUUGGUGGAAGAGCAACUGGUGACAAAGAAACUGGAACAGGAAAGCAAUUCAAUGUGCACAGCACCUUAGCCAAUAAAGUACAUAUUGAACUUCCUAUUGUUUGCAUGAUAUCAACAGCAGAGCCAACGGCAUUUUUCACAUCUUGGAUAUCAGCCUGCAAAUACAAAGUAGGAAAGAAGAACUUCAGCUUUGAUACGCAGAACAGAAGGGAAACAUGUGGAAACAAUUUUGUAUAAUGGUGUUCUAAUUACAACCUUUGCUCCAUCAGUAACAGGAAGGCACAAAAUGCUGGCAGUUAGAGCUUCCACAAUUCCAGAUAAAGAAUCUGUAUAGUCCCUCUCUAAUAAAGACCAUUCUUCAAGAUAUGCCAUCUGUAUCAAGCAAUUUUCGUUAGAUUUUUACAAACAAGGCAAAGGCGAAAAGUGAAUUGCUACCAGGCUAAGAUAUGACUGGCCAAAAUUUGUUAGUAGUUAAUUUAAGUACUAUAAUAGCUUAAAGUUAUAUCUAAGGCUCCGCUACAGAGUCUGUGUGCUGGUGAGCUGGUCUUUCUCCCUUUUUUAACUUUACAGUUGUUCACAGGAAAGGGCCAUGUGCAAUCUAUUGAGCAGAGGAAAUAAGCAUCAGAACAGCUAAUCCUGCAAUUACAUGGUCCUACCGUUACAUCAAUGAGAACACCUAGUGGACUGGCUGUGCAGAUAUUUGAAAUAUGUAUUCAGAUGGGCAUGGCCCUGUGCUAAUAGCUACCUGGUUCUCAGUUUUUUCAGAGACUUCUUUUCUUUUUGGCAUAAUAUUCUCUUGCUAACAAUGUCCGGCAGGCUGGCCCAAUGGUAGCAAGACAUGGAGAGUAAUUCAUGAUAAUCAGAUUUACUAUACUAUCAGAAACCAAGGCUUCUAAAGGUAACCAAAAAAAGGUCAUGUGGAUGUAUGAAUAAAGCAGUGAACUGCCUAGUUGCAAUCUUGCAGAGAAAACUGAAUAGGUGAUUCUUACCUGUCCCUUUAGAACUGUCAUGAGUUUCCAAUUGUUUCGGUAUAACUGUAGCUGGAAUCUCUUAAGAGCAACAGAUUUACGCAUCCCUAGGGUAGUAAUCCAGGCAUCAGAUAAGAAUUUCUGGUGAAAAGGUCAAAGAAGAAGAGUUAUUGAGAAGUAAUAAGGUAUAAAAGACAACAUUAGCUAUAGAAAACAAUCUGCUUGAAAUUCAAACUUCUGCCCAGAAAUAUUUUGAAUUAAAAUAGUUACAGCCAGACUUCCAUUUGCCUAUGAACAGGUGCAGAAUACAAACACCCAUUCUAAAAAGUAAAGAACAUGACAUAAAUCGGCGUUCCAUCUGAUACACCCACCCUGAGCAGAUCCUAUUUAUAUUAGUUUUGUUUACAGCUCCAACAUAAAGGCAUGUCAUUGUCAAAGCUUUUCUGGUUCUGUCUUUCCAACUGUUAUAAUUUUUUUCUGUGUAUGUUUGUGUGACAACUACUCUUCACUUCAGAGAAGACCUGUGAAGAUGCUUUCUAUCUGAUAUACAUAGAUUGCCUGGUUCGCCUUUAGUGAAGAAGCUACUCCCAAGGAAUUUUAAAAACUUUGAUAAAUAUAAAAAUAAGGAUAACAUAAACUAUGGCAGAAAAGACAAAGGUAGUUACAACCAAACUGUGUACAUUACACAAAUUUGCUUUUGAAAAUAAGUGAAUCAAAAGGUAAGUGUGAGCACACUGCGCCUACUGUCCUGCAUAUAGCUAGCCCAGAUUGUAUAUGCCCCCCCCCCCUCCUGAAUUUAAUCAAUUGCAUCUUGCACAAAUCAUUGAUGAAUGCUAAUUUGAAUAAAUCAAGCAAGUUAUAAAACCUAAAUCUACAGCCAUGAACACAUACUGCUGAGUUCUGAGAUGUACUGCUAUUUAUAUUAAUUAUACAGGAGAAACAAAAUUCACAUAUUAGAAUUUAAUAGUCCAUACGUGCUUUUGUAAAGAACAUACAUACUCACCUCUGCAGUCAAUUUCUGUGCAGCAAGUGCAGCAUCAGCCUGUGCAUUCACACACCGCCACUGCAACUGCCGAUUGGACAAAAUUCUCAAUAGGUGCUCACAGUCGACCUUACUACCCCCAUGCCACCUCCUCCUCGCUUCACCAUUUAUACCAUAACCGGAUGAACUUCUUCCCUGAUGAUCCCAAGAUGAAGUGCCUGACCCCACAGAGUUUCUUGCCCGUGAUGGACUUGACAUCCUCCUCGAUGGAUUACCUGUAAGCUUACUUGGUGAAGAUUGCCUGAUUGGCCGAUUCAGUGGAGAUGAAGCAAAGCCAUUUAACAGUGAUUUCUUGACCGGCGCUGUCCUUGGAGAUGCGGCCAAUCCAGAGGUAUACGGCAAGUAUGGUGUGCCUGGAUCUGCAAAUCUUUGCGACCUGCUGGCAGCAGCAUCCUGCAAGAACCGUGCGGGCACACUCAUCCCCUUAGACGACUGGCGUCCUCUGUGGGAUAUGCCAAUACCAGCAUCCUGAGACCCCGAAUUGCUCCCAGACGACACACUCUCUGUGUCAGACGACAUCAGGUAGUCCCCACUGUCAAAUGAGGAACGUCGACCCCCCUCCUCAAACACCAUGGACUGCCGCAGCGACCGGACAGCAGCAAGGACAGCCGCGUCCCUCUUGUGCAAAGAGCAAUCCAAGCUUUUGGUAAGCGGAUUUCCCUCAAACCCCUGCGACAACCUCGCGGACAUUGGCCAUCUGUGGUGGGUAUGGCCCCCGCCCUCAAACCCCUUCCCCCUCUCCGGCACUGUCCCCAUAGCAGGCCUCCUCCUCUCCGGCGUGAUGACCCCCGCCGCCGAAGCCACCGGCCGCCGCGACGGAGACGGGGAUGUGGCCGGCUUCACCUUGCUGGUCUCGAAGGAGAAGGACCGGCCCUGGAACGCCACGGAGAGGCUCCUCGUGGUGGUGGUGGUGCCGGCAUUGGGCCCCCCGGCCUCCCCGACGGCAGCAUUGCCCGCCGGUCCCGGGCGCGGGCGGUCGACGGAGACCGAGCGCCUCGGCAGCGGCGACGCGAAGCGGCGGGAGGGCGUGGAGGCCGAGGUCGAGGUGGAGUUGGAGCUCGAGGAGGUGGUGGUGGUGGAGGUCGAGGUCGAUGUGGAGGUGGAUGUGGACCUGGAGGAGGGCGCGAGGAGGUAGCGGGAGGAGACGGCCUUGGCCUUGGGCUUGGGCCGCGCGUCGCCGGCGUCGCCGGCGUUGGCGUUGGCGUUGGACUUGGCCGGGGAGAGCGCGGAGGAGGCGCGGCGGCGGUGCGGGGACGGCGACGGGUUCAGCCGGGGCGCGGCCGCUGCUGCCCCGGCGGCCACCAUGGCGCUCAGAUCUCGCGGUAUCUCCCCGUGGUUUUUGGGGUUUGUGGGGUUUCGCUUCGUUUCGUUUCAAGAUGGGGGGGGGGGGGGGGGGGCGAAGGGGGUGUGAGCGGAGCGGAGCCGACGCUGCACGGCCGCGGAAGUGGAGUGGGGAGCCAAGUGAAACAUGGGCGAAGGGAAGGGGAUGGGGUCCGUUCCCUUCCGUCGCAAGGGCAAAAAGGGAAAAGCAAGCGGAAUAAAGGGCCGGUGCCGUCUGCUGGUGGCCCGGUGGGGCGGCGGAGGAAGCAGCAGGUCAGCUUGACGCCCGGUGACCCGCCCGAUAAUGGCUGCCGCUGGCCGGCUGGGCCUGGCCGCCUGGGCGUUCUCCAAAACCAGACCAUGCCGCCGGCGUCAACCCGGCCCCGUGCCCCCAGCGAUUUCUCGCGUUGCGCCUACGUUUUCCUCGUCAUGGGCUCACCACGGCACGUGCCCCGGCUUGACGAAACGCUCGCGCAGCGAAGACGCCUCAUGUGGCCGGCUCGAGCUGUCCCGUGGCAAUUGGUUCACGCGACGAGCCGACGACGGAGUGGAGACGGCGUAGGGGGGCGGGCUGACACCAUCAUUUCCCCCGACGCGCCGGCGCGAGGGGGGACGGGCCCUCCGAGGGCCUAGGCUCUAAACAAAGCGCGGGCAGGGGAAAAUGUGCUCCUGAUACUAGUUUAUCCGCUGCGUGAUUGGCCGUUUGGACCUUUGCGCCUUUGCCUCCACGCACUCGCCUAGGAAAAAUACAGUUUUUUAAAGAUUUGGAUAGAUACUUUCCUGCCUCAGUAACCUGGCCCCUGUUUAGUUCACUCCAACCCCUUGUUUACUUCACCCUCAACUUCUAACUUUGGCACUAUGCAAAAAGAAGAUUCCUCAUCACAUCAAACUUGCGGUACAUGCAUGGAGUACUAAAUGUAGAUGAAAUUAAAAACUAAUUGCACAGUUUUGUUGUACUUUGCGAGACGAAUCUUUUAAGCCUAAUUAGUCAAUGUUUGGACAAUAAUUCACAAAUACAAACGAAACGCUACAGUGUCCUACAGUGCCAGCACAGUAAUUUGGCACCUCCCAAUUUGGCCAACUAAACAAGGCCCAAAUUCCAACUUUGACACUAUGCAAAAAAGAAUAUUCCUCAGCACAUCAAAUUUGCGGUACAUACAUGGAGUACUGAAUAUAGACCAAAUAAAAAACUAAUUGCACAGUUUUAUUGUACUUUGCGAGACGAAUCUUUUGAACCUAAUUAGUCAAUAUUUGGAUAAUAAUUUACAAAUACAAACGAAACGCUACAGUUGCGCUACAGUAAUUUUGGUUGCCCAAAGUUGGGCAACUAAACAAGUGCCCUAGGAAAAUUGAAGUUUUAAGAUUGGGAUAGAUGCUACCUUGCCUCGGUGGUCAACAUAAUGCAAAUGAGCUUGACUAAAAAAACACAGAAUGCAAAUGCACAGAUACCAGGGAUGCUCCGGGCAAAAUUCAUGUGUGCCCGAACAACCUCAAAUCAAGCUGUAGCUCAAAGCCAUAAGAAAUACUGUAACUGUAUCUCAGUGAAAACAGUGUAGUUUCAGUAAAUACAAAAUCCCGUAUAGGAACAAACUGUCACGUGCGGUAUCUACAAAUGGGACAAGAACCUUGUCAAGUUACUGCUGACUGCUAGGAGGCGAACGAGCGCAUCAACAGUGGAUUCACUGUUGAUUGAUUUUACUGGCGAAUGGAACAGACGGUGCGCGGCUACGGGCCGGACGCAGGUGUCGUCGUGUCGAGCCUACUGCAGUCUGCAGCAGCUCUACAGUUCUUAAUCUUUUUUAUAACAUUAUCGAGGCACACUUUGGCAAUAAAUAUUCUGGUGUACUGCUAGUUUAAUGUUAAUAUGUCUUGUUGUGUUUAAGAAUGACACGAGGGAGUCAACUUGGUCCGAUCCUGUCUCGUCCAUUUGCAUAUAACGGUAUGCAGUAUUGUGUAGAGACAGUAGAGUUGCAAGGCUCUCGAUGCUGAUUCUUUUAUUUUUGCUACAUUUCCUAAAGCUAUAGCUUUGCUGUGGUCUUGUGGAGUGACCGCUGCAGACCGUGCUCGACAGUUAGACGUCCCUGUUAACUAACGGUGUAAGCAUGCAAUCUCCAUUAAUCCAGUCACGUAGUGAACCCAGCAAAGCGAGCUUGGGACGUGCGCGUGGGGCCGCUACAUGAGUUGCGAUCCAUGUCUGGUGGACUGCCACUACGACGCUGUCACGACCGCUUUCCGUUAAACCACUUUAUCGUCACGUAGGACCCGUCUCCGCAUGACGGCCCCGAAUCUGCACGGCACGCCGCGCGCGGCUGGGUCGGCCACCGUACGUUACUCCGGGGCCCUGGAUGGCGGCACGCGCGGCCGAAAAGCCCCGAUCCAGGCGCCGCCGCGGCCGGCCGGCCGCGGGUACGCUACGGUUUGGAGCGCGCGGCGGCUGGUUAGCCUCGCGCGACCUGCUAUAUUUGUAAUAAUUUGGAAAUGCGGGAAAAGAGGUGUUUUUUAAAGCACUUCUUUUUGCAUAUAAAUAUUCAAUCUCACUAAAGAAAAAUGUUUUAAGUAAAACAUUUUUUUUCUUUUUAAAAAAGAAAUCGAAAUUCUUUCGAAAUCUAAUGAUUAGAAGAGCGGCGGAUAAUAAGGAUCCGCACAAAAGAGUUGCAUAGCUUAGCGAUUAUCUAAUAAAUCUUUUAAUGAAAGUAGAUUAUCUUGCUAUUAAGUUUACAAUUUUUAUGAUCUCUUCCCGAACCAAACAUGAAUCUUUCGAUUCAUUUGGCUCUCCCGCUCCUUUUUUUCUCUUUUGCUAUGUAUUAUGGCUAUUUCCAUAUCUUUUUUUUAUGUAAUGAGCCUAUCCUCUCUUUUCUGUUUGUAUUUCUAUAUACCCAAACUUAUAUAAGACUAGAUGAAUAUUAAGAUAAGAGGAUUCUUCCAACUAGAUAAAAAUCUAUCAUGGUCAGCAAAGUUGUUUCUUUAUUUGUGUUUGCUCUGUUAGUUAAUAAUUUCAAUUUCAUUAAGAAAAACAAACUAAAUAAAUGGAAAAUCUAAAUUGAUACAAUUCCUUUUAUUUUUUCUUCAAAUCCAAAAAAUUUCUCUUUUAUACAUAGGUCGUCGAUUCGGCAUUGGAAAAAGGGCUGGAUGCCCUUCUAGUAAAUAGUUCAAACUAUUUUAUCGAUAUGAGUGUUCUAUAUCAGAUAAAUUCCACACUAGCUAUUUCCCGUUUAAAGCAUUUCGAGACUAAUGUAGUUGUAGAAAGAGUACCCCCUUUUGCCCGGACUUCAAGCAGUUUAGCUUUAACCGUGUUAAUGGUCUCACAUUAUUGGUCUAUAGAGAAUCAAAGUAAAUUUACCAAUGAGUCGCGAAAUGCUAUGGUUCUUCCAUAUGAUUUCUGAAGUUAUUCAGAAGUAAUUCGUCGAGAUCGUGCACCUUUUCUUAUUUAUCCAAAAAAAUACUAAAAAAUAUUCUAAAGUGCAGCCGGAUAGAUCCAAUCUAUUCUUGAAAUAGACAACUCGCACACACUCCCUUUCCAAAAAAAAUCAAUACACCAACCACUACAGUUAGAUUUAUUAGAUUUGUUGCUAAAAUAUCGGUAUUAAGCCCGAAACUCCCAGCGAAUGGCCUGUGAGCUAAAAAAACGAAAGAAUAGGUUACAUUUUUCAUAUGCUCUCCUCUUAUAGAUAGGACGAACAAAGAAGAAAGUUUUUCGAUCACUUACUUCGCUCGCCCUUUUUUGAUCGGUUUUUUUAAUGCAAUCUUUUUUUAAUGCAAAUAGAUUUAAUCUAAUAAUUUCUUUUAGAUUAAGUCUUAGGUCUUGUUUGACCUGUAAAAAAUCUCCUUUGUUGAAAUGUUCCCAAAAUUCCUAAAAUAAAAGAAAAAGAGUUUCCACUGUCCUAAACUAAGAAUGGGAAGGAAGAGGACGAGCGUAUCCUCUAAAUUGAUCAUGCUCAAAUCAGCCCUUCCUGGGGUUCCUGGGGUAUUGUCUGUCCCGAUAAAUACAAAAUUCCCGGAAUAAUAUAAUAAAUAGGAGUAAAGUAUUGAUAUACUUGGAAUUACAGAAGCAAAUCCCAAUGUACGAAAAAAAAGAAAAAAGUAUCUAAUCUAAAGGACUCUUUUUCUUUUUUAGGAUUAAACAAAAGGGUUCGCAAAUAAAAGCGCUAGUGCCACAACCAGUCCAUAAAUUGUUAAAGCUUCCAUAAAAGCUAGACUAAGCAAUAAAGUACCUCGUAUUUUACCUUCUGCUUCUGGCUGUCUCGCAAUACCUUCUACAGCUUGUCCUGCAGCAGUACCUUGACCAACUCCGGGCCCAAUAGAAGCAAGCCCUACGGCCAAUCCAGCAGCAAUAACGGAAGCAGCAGCAAUUAGUGGAUUCAUGGUGAGUUCCUCGUGUCAAAAAAAAAAAGAAAUGGUUAAGGAUACAAUCAACCAAGAAAUUAUUACUUCUAACUUCUAAGCUCUAUUGGGUAAAAGUAACUAAUAAGUACAAAUAAAUGAUAAUUGAAAUCGUCCGAAUUACUUCGAGAUCUCGUUUUUAGUUUCUAAUCAUUAGAGGUUUGUGUAAAUCCAUAUGAUUCUCAUUAUUCUAUUUCUCUUUCUUUUCAACCAAUCACUCUUUCAUUCCAUCCUUUUUUUUUACUCUUUGAUAUCCUUGAGUUCCCAUUUUUUCCCCUUCAUCUAACAUAAUAAAAGACGAAAUAUAGGAAGAACCCCUAUUGAAAUCGAACUAAUUCAAAUCCAAUAGGAAUCAAAUCAAGAUAUACAAUUGAUAACAAUAUGCUGCAUAGAAUUAGAAUUAGAUAUGGAAUCCAGUUCUAUAUAGAAGGGAAUUCUACAUAUCGGAUUAGAUAAUGAAUCUAACUUAGGAAUAAAAGCUCGCUUCCACGUACGCGCCCGCGCCCCCGUUUGGUCGCUUCGUUCCGCCGGGCUGCGCUCAUGGUUGGAUCAUUGGAUGCUGCCGCGCCGCGCCGUGUUGGAGUCGGCACAACUAGACGAGCUCCGACAAGUGUAUGGUUGCCAAUAUUCUGCCUUCCUGCAGGCAGCGGGGCCUUGUUUCAAAACGACAGAGCCUCUGUAUACGGAUGCG